rnacentral:rRNA from 1 species
AGUGAACGCUGGCGGUAGGCCUAACACAUGCAAGUCGAACGGCAGCACAGUAAGGGCUUGCUCUUACGGGUGGCGAGUGGCGGACGGGUGAGGAAUACAUCGGAAUCUACUUUUUCGUGGGGGAUAACGUAGGGAAACUUACGCUAAUACCGCAUACGACCUACGGGUGAAAGCAGGGGAUCUUCGGACCUUGCGCGAUUGAAUGAGCCGAUGUCGGAUUAGCUAGUUGGCGGGGUAAAGGCCCACCAAGGCGACGAUCCGUAGCUGGUCUGAGAGGAUGAUCAGCCACACUGGAACUGAGACACGGUCCAGACUCCUACGGGAGGCAGCAGUGGGGAAUAUUGGACAAUGGGCGCAAGCCUGAUCCAGCCAUGCCGCGUGGGUGAAGAAGGCCUUCGGGUUGUAAAGCCCUUUUGUUGGGAAAGAAAAGCAGCAGGUUAAUACCCCGCUGUUCUGACGGUACCCAAAGAAUAAGCACCGGCUAACUUCGUG